rnacentral:rRNA from 1 species
UACGUAGGGUGCGAGCGUUAAUCGGAAUUACUGGGCGUAAAGCGUGCGCAGGCGGUUUUAUAAGCCAGAUGUGAAAGCCCCGGGCUCAACCUGGGAAUGGCAUUUGGGACUGUAAAGCUGGAGUAUGGCAGAGGAGACUAGAAUUCCUGGUGUAGCAGUGAAAUGCGUAGAUAUCAGGAGGAAUACCGAUGGCGAAGGCAGGUCUCUGGGCCAAUACUGACGCUCAUGCACGAAAGCGUGGGGAGCAAACAGG